UCCCUGGUAGCUCAGCUGGUAAAGAAUCUGCCUGCAACGCAGGAGACCUGGGUUUGAUCCCUGGGUGGGGAA
rnacentral:tRNA from 1 species